UACGUAGGGUGCAAGCGUUAAUCGGAAUUACUGGGCGUAAAGCGUGCGCAGGCGGUUUUGUAAGUCAGAUGUGAAAUCCCCGGGCUUAACCUGGGAACUGCGUUUGAAACUACAAGGCUAGAGUGUGACAGAGGGGGGUGGAAUUCCACGUGUAGCAGUGAAAUGCGUAGAGAUGCGGAGGAACACCGAUGGCGAAGGCAAUCCCCUGGACCUGUACUGACGCUCAUGCACGAAAGCGUGGGGAGCAAACAGG
rnacentral:rRNA from 1 species